rnacentral:rRNA from 1 species
UUAGUUGGUGGAGUGAUUUGUCUGGUUAAUUCCGAUAACGAACGAGACCUUAACCUGCUAAAUAGUUACGCGAAUAUUUUAUUCGUGUUGUAACUUCUUAGAGGGACUAUAGAUUUUUAAUCUAUGGAAGUUUGAGGCAAUAACAGGUCU